GCGAGAAAACUUUGCAAUGUGCGAAAGCACGACAAGGUUAAUCCGAGUGGUUUCUGCUAAAGAAACCUUUUGUCAGUCCUAGAAACACUAACGAAUAAGGGGUGGGCAAGUUCUGGUGUCAGCCGCCGCGGUAAAACCAGCACCUCAAGUGGUCAGGAUGAUUAUUGGGCCUAAAGCAUCCGUAGCUCGUUUUGUAAGUUUUCGGUUAAAUCCAUACGCUUAACGUAUGGGCUGCCGGGAAUACUGCAUAACUAGGAAGUGGGAGAGGUAGACGGUACUCGGUAGGAAGGGGUAAAAUCCUUCGAUCUAUUGAUGACCACCUGUGGCGAAGGCGGUCUACCAGAACACGUUCGACGGUGAGGGAUGAAAGCUGGGGGAGCAAACCGGAUUAGAUACCCCUGUAGUCCCUGAGCGGGCUGGCAAGGCGCAU
rnacentral:rRNA from 1 species